rnacentral:rRNA from 1 species
ACCUGCUCUAUGAUUAUUAUAAUUAAAUGGCCGCGAUAUAUUGAUCGUGCAAAGGUAGCAUAAUCAUUAGUUUCUUAAUUAGGAACUGGAAUGAAAGGUUGAACGAAAAAAUAACUGUCUCAAUUUAAUUUAAUUAGAAUUUUAUUUUUAAGUAAAAAAGCUUAAAUAAAUUUAAAAGACGAGAAGACCCUAUAGAGUUUUAUAUUUAUAAAUUUUAAAAAAAAAUAUAGUAUAUAAUUUUUUAUUAUUAUUAAGUAUUUAGUUGGGGUGACUAAAAAAUUUAAUUAACUUUUUUUUAUUUAAAACAUUAAUGUAUGAAUAAUUGAUCCAUAAAUUAUGAUUAAAAGAUUAAAUUAC